rnacentral:rRNA from 1 species
AGAGUUUGAUCCUGGCUCAGGAUGAACGCUAGCUACAGGCUUAACACAUGCAAGUCGAGGGGCAUCAGGAAGAAAGCUUGCUUUCUUUGCCGGCGACCGGCGCACGGGUGAGUAACACGUAUCCAACCUGCCCUUUACUCGGGGAUAGCCUUUCGAAAGAAAGAUUAAUACCCGAUAGCAUAAUGAUUCCGCAUGGUUUCAUUAUUAAAGGAUUCCGGUAAAGGAUGGGGAUGCGUUCCAUUAGGUUGUUGGUGAGGUAACGGCCCACCAAGCCUUCGAUGGAUAGGGGUUCUGAGAGGAAGGUCCCCCACAUUGGAACUGAGACACGGUCCAAACUCCUACGGGAGGCAGCAGUGAGGAAUAUUGGUCAAUGGGCGCUAGCCUGAACCAGCCAAGUAGCGUGAAGGAUGAAGGCUCUAUGGGUCGUAAACUUCUUUUAUAUAAGAAUAAAGUGCAGUAUGUAUACUGUUUUGUAUGUAUUAUAUGAAUAAGGAUCGGCUAACUCCGUGCCAGCAGCCGCGGUAAUACGGAGGAUCCGAGCGUUAUCCGGAUUUAUUGGGUUUAAAGGGAGCGUAGGUGGACUGGUAAGUCAGUUGUGAAAGUUUGCGGCUCAACCGUAAAAUUGCAGUUGAUACUGUCAGUCUUGAGUACAGUAGAGGUGGGCGGAAUUCGUGGUGUAGCGGUGAAAUGCUUAGAUAUCACGAAGAACUCCGAUUGCGAAGGCAGCUCACUGGACUGCAACUGACACUGAUGCUCGAAAGUGUGGGUAUCAAACAGGAUUAGAUACCCUGGUAGUCCACACAGUAAACGAUGAAUACUCGCUGUUUGCGAUAUACAGUAAGCGGCCAAGCGAAAGCAUUAAGUAUUCCACCUGGGGAGUACGCCGGCAACGGUGAAACUCAAAGGAAUUGACGGGGGCCCGCACAAGCGGAGGAACAUGUGGUUUAAUUCGAUGAUACGCGAGGAACCUUACCCGGGCUUAAAUUGCAGUGGAAUGAUGUGGAAACAUGUCAGUGAGCAAUCACCGCUGUGAAGGUGCUGCAUGGUUGUCGUCAGCUCGUGCCGUGAGGUGUCGGCUUAAGUGCCAUAACGAGCGCAACCCUUAUCUUCAGUUACUAACAGGUCAUGCUGAGGACUCUGGAGAGACUGCCGUCGUAAGAUGUGAGGAAGGUGGGGAUGACGUCAAAUCAGCACGGCCCUUACGUCCGGGGCUACACACGUGUUACAAUGGGGGGUACAGAAGGCAGCUAGCGGGUGACCGUAUGCUAAUCCCAAAAGCCUCUCUCAGUUCGGAUCGAAGUCUGCAACCCGACUUCGUGAAGCUGGAUUCGCUAGUAAUCGCGCAUCAGCCACGGCGCGGUGAAUACGUUCCCGGGCCUUGUACACACCGCCCGUCAAGCCAUGGGAGCCGGGGGUACCUGAAGUACGUAACCGCAAGGAUCGUCCUAGGGUAAAACUGGUGACUGGGGCUAAGUCGUAACAAGGUAGCCGUACCGGAAGGUGCGGCUG